rnacentral:rRNA from 1 species
GUGUCAGCAGCCGCGGUAAUACGAACUGUGCGAACGUUAUUCGGAAUCACUGGGCUUAAAGGGUGCGUAGGCGGUUUUCUAAGUCACGUGUGAAAUCUUCUGGCUCAACCAGAAAACUGCGCGUGAAACUAGUCAACUUGAGUGAGGUAGGGGUGUGUGGAACUUCCGGUGGAGCGGUGAAAUGUGUAGAGAUCGGAAGGAACGCCAGCAGCGAAAGCGGCACACUGGGCCUUUUCUGACGCUGAGGCACGAAAGCUAGGGGAGUGAACGGGAUUAGAUACCCCGGUAAUCCUAGCCGUAAACACUGAACACUGGAGGACGGGGGCUUCGGCCUUCGUUCUCGUAGCGAAAGCGUUAAGUGUUCCGCCUGGGGAGUAUGGUCGCAAGGCUGAAACUCAAAGGAAUUGACGG